rnacentral:rRNA from 1 species
CCUACGGGAGGCAGCAGUGGGGAAUAUUGCACAAUGGGCGGAAGCCUGAUGCAGCGACGCCGCGUGAGGGAUGAAGGCCUUCGGGUUGUAAACCUCUUUCAGCAGGGACGAAGCGUGAGUGACGGUACCUGCAGAAGAAGCACCGGCUAACUACGUGCCAGCAGCCGCGGUAAUACGUAGGGUGCGAGCGUUGUCCGGAAUUACUGGGCGUAAAGAGUUCGUAGGCGGUUUGUCGCGUCGUUUGUGAAAACCCGGGGCUCAACUUCGGGCUUGCAGGCGAUACGGGCAGACUUGAGUGUUUCAGGGGAGACUGGAAUUCCUGGUGUAGCGGUGAAAUGCGCAGAUAUCAGGAGGAACACCGGUGGCGAAGGCGGGUCUCUGGGAAACAACUGACGCUGAGGAACGAAAGCGUGGGUAGCAAACAGGAUUAGAUACCCUGGUAGUCCACGCCGUAAACGGUGGCGCUAGGUGUGGGUUCCUUCCACGGGAUCUGUGCCGUAGCUAACGCAUUAAGCGCCCCGCCUGGGGAGUACGCGCGAGACAACUAAUAGAUAGACGCGNGAGACGNGCGACGACGACGACGAGGGAGUAGG